AGAGUUUGAUCCUGGCUCAGAACGAACGCUGGCGGCAGGCCUAAUACAUGCAAGUCGAGCGCGCCCUUCGGGGUGAGCGGCGGACGGGUGAGUAACGCGUGAGAAUAUGCCCUUCUCUGAGGAAUAGCCUCGGGAAACUGAAAGUAAUACCUUAUACACCCUACGGGGGAAAGAUUGAUCGGAGAAGGAUUAGCCCGCGUUAUAUUACGUAGUUGGUGGGGUAAUGGCCUACCAAGCCUACGAUCUAUAGCUGGUUUGAGAGGAUGAUCUGCCUCACUGGGACUGAAACACGGUCCACACUCCUACAGGAGGCACCAGUACGGAAUCUUAAACAAUGGGGGAAACCCUGAUCUAUGCAUGCCGCGUGUGUGAUGAAUGCCUUAGGGUCGUAAAGCACUUUCACCAGAUAUGAUAAUGACAGUAUCUGGUACAGAAACCCCGGCUAACUCCGUGCCACCAGCCGCGGUAAUACUGAGGGGGUUAGCGUUGUUCGGAAUUACUGGGCGUAAAGCGCACGUAUGCGGAUUAGUAAGUUAGAGGUGAAAUCCCACUGCUCAACCCUGGAACUGCCUUUAAUACUGCUAGUCUUGAGUUCAGAGAGAGGUAACUGGAAUUCCAAGUGUAUGAGGUGAAAUUCGUAUAUAUUCUGAUGAACACCGGUGGAAAACGCGGCUUACUGGCUCGUUACUGACGCUGAUGUGCAAAAGUGUGGGGGAGCAGACAGGAUUAGAUACCCUGCUAGUCCUCACCGUAAACGAUGAAUGCCAGAUGUCAGCAAGUAUACUCGUUGGUGUCACACCUAACGGAUUAAGCAUUCAGCGUGGGGAGUACGGUGGCAAGAUUAAAACUCAAAGGAAUUGACGGGGGUCUGCACAAGUGGUGGAGCAUGUGGUUUAAUUUGAAGCAACGCGCAGAACAUUACCAACCCUAGACAUCGUGUGGUACUAUCAGAGAUUGUACGUUACCUUCGGGGAGGCAGUGACAGGUUCUGCAUGGCUGUCGUCAGCUUGAGUCGUGAGAUGUUCGCUUAAGUCAGGCAACGAGCGCAACACACAUUUUUAGUAGCCAUCAGGUUAUGCUGGGCAAUAUAGAGAAGCUACCCGUGAUAAGCGGGAGGAAGGUGUGGACGACGUCAAGUCGUCAUGGCCCUUACGGGAUGGGCUACACACGUGUUACAAUGGCAGUGACAAUGGGUUAAUUCCAAAAAACUGUGUCAGUUUGGAUUGGGGUGUGCAACUCGACCCCACGAAGUGUGAAUAGCUAGUAAUAGCGUAACAGCAAGACGCGGUGAAUACGUUUCCGGGCCUUGUACACACCGCCCGUCACACCAUGGGAGUUGGUUGUACCCGAGGACGAUGUGGUAACCCUUUGGGGAGGCAGGCGGCCACGGUAGGAUCAGUGAAUGGGGUGAAGUCGUAACAAGGUAACC
rnacentral:rRNA from 2 species